GAUGAACGCUGGCGGCGUGCCUAAUACAUGCAAGUCGAGCGAACGGACGAGAAGCUUGCUUCUCUGAUGUUAGCGGCGGACGGGUGAGUAACACGUGGAUAACCUACCUAUAAGACUGGGAUAACUUCGGGAAACCGGAGCUAACACCGGAUAAUAUUUUGAACCGCAUGGUUCAAAAGUGAAAGACGGUCUUGCUGUCACUUAUAGAUGGAUCCGCGCUGCAUUAGCUAGUUGGUGAGGUAACGGCGUACCAAGGCAACGAUGCAUAGCCGACCUGAGAGGCUGAUAGGCCAAACUGGAACUGAGACACGGUCCAGACGCCUACGGGAGGAAGCAGUAGGGAAUCUUCCGCAAUGGGCGAAAGCCUGUCGGAGCAACGCCGCGUCGGUGAUGAAGGUCUUCGGAUCGUAAAACUCUGUUAUUAGGGAAGAACAGAUGUGUAAGUAACUGUGCACAUCUUGACGGUACCUAAUCAGAAAGCCACGGCUAACUACGUG
rnacentral:rRNA from 1 species